UGUUUUAAUUUCAUAAUCAGGAGUACAUAUGUGAUGUACUGAAUAUAAUACGGUCGUUGUAUGUCUAUAAAAUGUGUAACAUCUAAAUUUUGUGUAUAUGUGUGUGCUUUGUGUAAAAAAAAAUAAGUAUCAGUUUGAUAAUCUAAUGAAUCAGCGUUGGUAUAUGUCUUUCUUUUAAUUUGGUGCAGGCCUUUGUCGUUGGAUUCAUGCUCUGUUCUUAUUCGGAUCUAGAGACUAACAUAAUUCAGUGGAUAUAGGUCGAAGAAGAACGAUUUGUUUGUUGGUAGUUUAGUUCGGGUUGGGCGUAGGAAUGGAUCGUGGUGGCCGUGACGUAUAAUGGGAUUUCCUUAAUUUCUUGAUGGUUGCGUCCUUUCUCUGAAGGAUCAAACUCCGGUGAAGUUCUUGGGACGAUAUAAUGCAAACAUGGGGCUCAACAAGACGUGCUAGUUGAUAUGGUUGCAUAAAGUCAUUCUUACAAGCAGAG